rnacentral:rRNA from 1 species
UGGUGGAGUGAUUUGUCUGGUUAAUUCCGAUAACGAACGAGACCUUAACCUGCUAAAUAGACCAGCCGGCUUUGGCUGGCUGCUGUCUUCUUAGAGGGACUAUCAGCUUUUAGCUGAUGGAAGUUUGAGGCAAUAACA